rnacentral:rRNA from 1 species
AUUGAACGCUGGCGGCAGGCCUAACACAUGCAAGUCGAACGAGUGGCGGACGGGUGAGUAAUGUCUGGGAAACUGCCUGAUGGAGGGGGAUAACUACUGGCAACGGUAGCUAAUACCGCAUACCAUCAGAUGUGCCCAGAUGGGAUUAGCUAGUGGGGGGGGUAACGGGGCACCAAGGCGACGAUCCCUAGCUGGUCUGAGAGGAUGACCAGCUAACCGGGAACGGAGACACGGUCCAGACUCCUACGUGAGGCAGCAGUGGGGAAUAUUGCACAAUGGGCGCAAGCCUGAGGCAGCCAUGCCGCGUGUAUGAAGAAGGCCUUCGGGUUGUAAAGUACUUUCAGCGGGGAGGCGUUACCCGCAGAAGAAGCACCGGCUAACUCCGUGCCAGCAGCCGCGGUAAUUC